UCCACCCACAUCCGUGUUACAGGAAGGACCAAACUUUGAACCCAACUAGACUUUUGUAGGAAAGCGGCUAAUGUGUUCCAGGAAGCUGUGUUAAGGGAACACAUGAAGCGAACGGCAGCUUGUGAGCUCACAGUCCUCUGCACAAAACCCUUCCCUGAGAUUUUUCACCUGAAAUCACGGACCAGGUGACCACAUCAGCUAAGCUCAACCCUGCAGUCAUCCCGUCCCAGGUGCCAGAGAGUGAGUGAAGAAGCCUCCAGAAGAUUCCUGCCAUGCUCUGUCUGAAUUUCUUACCUAUGAAUUUAUGAGUGUAAAAAAUAAAUUGACAA